UACGGGGGGGGCAAGCGUUGUUCGGAAUUACUGGGCGUAAAGGGCUCGUAGGCGGCCAACUAAGUCGGAUGUGAAAUCCCCAGGCUUAACCUGGGAACUGCAUCCGAUACUGGAUGGCUUGAAUUCGGGAGAGGGAUGCAGAAUUCCAGGUGUAGCGGUGAAAUGCGUAGAUAUCGGGAGGAACACCAGUGGCGAAGGCGACUACCUGGCCUGUUCUUGACGCUGAGGCGCGAAAGCGUGGGGAGCAAACAGG
rnacentral:rRNA from 1 species